UAGAUUCAACCCGAAAGUUGUCUUCUUCCUUGGAAUGUGAGCUCUUGGGGGGCAGGGUUGGUCCAUCGCCAAUGUGGCGUCUGACACACAGUAGGAGUUAGUCAAUCAAUGAACAGUUAUUAAACCUGAACUUUGUUCUAGGCAUUAGGCUACGGACCAGGGAUCCAAAGAGGUAAAAAAAAAAAAGAUCUGGCCUCACAGGAAGCUGGGGAUCCAUAGAGAUGGCAGGGUUGGGGGUAGGAGCCUAGAACAGGGGGUGUCAGGCUGGGAGGGGGCUAGAACAGGGGGUGUCAGGCUGGGAGGGGGCUAGAACAGGGGGUGUCAGGCUGGGAAUUCCCCUGGUCAUCUAGUACCACCCCUUCAUUUUACUGAUAGGGAAACUAAGGACCAGAGGACAGUGGAGAGAAGACUGAACAAGGGUCAGGAGAUCCAGGUUCAAAUUUCGACAGAACUUCUCUGCGUGACUCUAGAUGAGUCCUCUUCCCUCCUCCUCUCUCAGGCCUUCAUUGGGAUACUUGGGAAGCCACGAGGUCCCCUUGGCACUGCAGUGAUCCUGAACAACCUGGAGGGAUCUAUGAGAAAGAACACUAUCCACAUUCAGAGGGGAAAUUGUGGGAGCAGAAAAACAGAAGAAAAACAACCGCUUGAUUACAUGGGUCGAAGGGGCUAUAAAUGAUCAUCCUAGUGCAAACAUGGAAAUAGGUUCUGAUCAAGGACACAUGUAAAACCCAGUGGAAUUGUGUGUCGGCUAUGGGAAGGGUGAGGGGAGGGAAAUAAUAAAGUUAUUGUAACCAAGGAAUAAUGUUCUAAA
rnacentral:lncRNA from 1 species